UGCUGAUGAUUUCGAAGAUGACUUGCGAACUGUUCUUUUUUCAGAUCAGGGGAGAUCUGCUAAAAGUAUGCUAAUUUUUUUAUUACUGGGAAUUGAGUUUAUUUGAUUUGCAACAUCUUUAUGUAGGAAAAAGACCUGUGAAGAAAGAACAAUACAUCUCUAACGAGGAAGCUGCGAGAAUUUGGAAUGAGAAAAAAUCACAUACCAUCGACGUUAUUAAUUCACAGAAGAAGUUCUUUCCUGCUGACAGGUUCCUCAUUCUCCCGUUGUUUCUGUUUUGCCUCUAAUCUGUGCUCGUCUUAGUAGUGAGUCCGUUUCCUUUUGAUCUUGUCUUCUGUGUUUGUUGCCUUUCACUUUGCGGUUCUUGACUGAGGGCACAUAUUUUUGUUAAAGUGUCUUUGUUGGCAAAUUGGAUCACGUUCAAAACAUUCUCCAAGAAAACAAAGGGUUUUUGGAAUUGGACCUUAUGGAUCUGGAGAAGUAUAUUGAUAACCUUAGGUCGAUGGCAGCCGAUGACAGCGGUUGGCCUGAAUAUUAUGUUGAAUUGAAGAAAAGUCUUGGACUUGAGUUUUCCUCUCAGGCUGUGUUUUCUGAAACACCUAUUACUUACAAGAAUGCAAUGCUCGCUCCUCCUGUUACAUCCUUCAAUGAUUGCUCUGAUGAAUUGGAUAGUGACAUUUGUUGCGAGGAAGCUGAGAAACUCGAUGCACAAAAAUCCAUUAUCGUUGAUGCUAUCGGUAGAUUGAAGAACCCUUGGGACCAUCCCACCUGCCUGCAGUGACUUGCUUGGCCGUUUGGAAGAUAUGUGCUCCAGUCUGGCACGCUACGAAUCUAUUAAAUGUCGGAAGAAACUGUCUGAUUUCAACGACUAUAUUUGUUCAAUUAAGGGGAAGGCAGACGUUGACAGCCGCUGGAUUGAAAUGCUGGAUGAUUUACAGAAGAGUCUUGGGCUGGAGAAUAAUCCUCAGGUUUUCUUAUCUUUCCACAAUCUGUUAGCAACUUAAAAUUUUCAACUCACUGUUAAAAGUUGUAUCAGUAGCAAUGCAUGUUGUCUUACGUUGUCGACGCAGUGCCAACUUUAAUUGUUCACUCCCCCAAUUUAUGUACGGCAUUUUGGACUUGCGCUCUUGGACACAUUGUUCAUGCAACUGGAAAAUGUUGUUCAUCUCUGUUUCUUUUUACAUAUAUUCUAUCGUGGUUUUGUUGGGUUUAUGUAAAAAUUUAGGUGGUACAUCCUAUGGCAAAGAAGGCAAAGAAGGCAAAGAAGUCAAAGAAGGCAAAGAAGGCAAAGAAGGCAAAGUAUGCUGACCCUGAUUGAUACACGCUUUUUGUUAGGUGUUGGAGGACCACAAGGAUCAGAGUUUUAACACUGUUAAUGCUGCAUGGUAACAACAUAAUCAAGAGAUGUUUUUACUGAGAACCUCUGCUCAUUUUGGAAAAUGAUGGAUGCCCCUUGGACAUUAUGUGCGUUGUUAGGUUGUUAAUGACUUGUUUUGUCUUGUGAAUGGUUUACGUGUAGGCUGGCUUUUGUGGUGCUAUUAAUUUUCCUUGUGCUUUUAGCUUUAUCGGAAACAAGCUCAAAACUAUUAACUCAAUACAUAUAAAAUUGUGCAUGGUACAUAGAUGCAUAUUCUCGCACACCCAAUUUUUCAGCUUCCUUUUCUGGAAUGUGUUCAUUUGGUUCUGCUCGAUUUUAUUUUAGGUUAAGUUUUACACAACCUUAGGGCUCGGAGUAACCAGAUUCGUAAAUUCUUCAUUUUAAGUUCAUCUCAUCUCAUCCGUGCCCUUGCUUUCAUUGUUCCUUCUUUUUUCUGGUAAUCAGAUUAUGGUGUUGAGAUUACCUCUCAAGCUACCCAAAAGCAUGCAAACACGAUGAAGAUUGUUUAACGAGACAAAACUAGAAAAGUAGUUAUGUCAUAUGUCCUUCCCAGUUCAAAUAAUUACCAGAGGGCCCUGCAGUGCGUAGUUCGUACUGUUUUGAGAAUAUAGUGUUAGGAAAUUUUUUGCUGGGCUUAGUUUAUUAUAUAAGUCUCACUGGGGUAGGCUUGAUAUAGUCUAGAUAGAGUGUAUUUAGGUUUGCACAGCUUAAGAAACGAUACAAUGAGAAAGUAACCAGUAAGGUAAAACGACACUACCAAAGAAUUUAAUCAAAACCUGAAUCAUUUCACGCUUCAGCUUAAGAAAAUUGAAAAAGGGUCAGUAGAUUGCUUAAAGGAAUUGUAGGGUUUCAUUCUGUUCCAAUUGAAAACUCAAUUCUUCAAUUCUUCAAAAACGAAACUUUGACUCCCAUGUCCUUCUUAAGUUUCUUUUUGUUUUGGGUUGAAAGUUUUUCUUUGCUGGGUUGUAUGGAUUCAGUUGAAAGGCUUUCAGUUCUGCUUUCUUUCCUUCAUUGUAAGCCUUUUUUCCGAUUUUCUGGCCUUGGAAUGAAGUUUCAGUCUUGACCUAAAGAAAAAACUUUGUUUUCAAUUAGCAGAUUCUCUCUGUGACCAGUUUCUGUUCUUGGUAUCACUGCAUCGAAGAACUUGAAAGACUCACUGAAUCCAAUUGCUAAAGUGAAUUGCUUCAACAAUGUUCUUAGUUCGAAGAUAUAGAAGCCAAAAAUUGUAGAUAAGAUGUAUAUGUUAAGUGUGUUUUCUUCUGUCCAAAGGUGUAGAAUUCAUAUAUUAGUGUUUUUAUGAAUUAGUUGUGCUGCAAUAAAGCAAGGUUAGAGCAUGUUGUACUUUCUGCACAAUGGGAAUUAUAAGUGCAUGGAGAUUAAUGAAGAUUGCUUAUUAGAGCAUGUUCUACUUCUGUCCAAUGUAUGCAUGUUGAUAGUUCUAUCUCUAAUAAAAGAUUGCUUAUUAAUGAAAAUUCUUUUAUGUUUUGGCAUAGAAGAACAGGGCAUAUUUCAAGAGAAAAUUGUUUUAUGUUUUGGCAUAAAAAUUUGGGAUUCUUGCACAAUACACCACUGCUGGUACUCCUCAUCAAAAUGGAGUUGUAGAGAGACGAAACAAAAUGUUGAAGGAAAUGGUGAGGAGCAUGAUGACGAGCCUAAAUUCUUGUGGGAAAAAGUAUUGAAGAUAACCAUGCACCGUGUACCAAGUAAGUCUGUUCCUAAGACGCCAUUUGAACAAUCGACAGGUAUGAAGCCUAGUUUGUUACAUUUCAUGUUUGGGGUUGUAACCCUGAAACUAAAGAGAAGCUUAAUCCAAGGAUUGUGAGUUGGUCAUUUUAAUAGAUUUCCUGAAAAUUUUAAAGGUUAUAUAUUAUUUUAUUGCCCACAAUACAAUUGCACAGAAAGAUAGUAUAUAGACUCAUAAUACUAAUACCAAUUUUGAGUUUGAAGAAGAUGAAUUUGUGGCAGUACCAAGUAAGUAAUGAGCAGUUCAAGUUACCUCCAAGGCUAAUCAACGAGAAUGAAGAUGAAGUAUCCCUACAGCAACAUGUCCAACCUUCUCCACCACAGAAGUCAAUAAUGAGCAGUCACUCUCUCACGAAGAGCCUCAAGAUCCUCAUGCUGAUGUUCAACUUGUCAUCGAAAUUACCAGAAGAUAGUCCCCAAGAGUUAGAAAGCCAUCAAUUUCUGAUGAAUGUAUAUGUGCAGGAGAUUGAAUGACAUUAGAAUGAAGAUGAAACUAAGAACUUUGAUCAAGAAAGCAUCAAUGAAGGAGUGUACGUAGAUUAUAGCA